UACGUAGGGUGCGAGCGUUAAUCGGAAUUACUGGGCGUAAAGCGUGCGCAGGCGGUUUUGUAAGACAGAGGUGAAAUCCCCGGGCUCAACCUGGGAACUGCAUUGGUGACUGGCAGGCUAGAGUAUGGCAGAGGGGGGUAGAAUUCCACGUGUAGCAGUGAAAUGCGUAGAGAUGUGGAGGAAUACCGAUGGCGAAGGCAGCCCCCUGGGCCAAUACUGACGCUCAUGCACGAAAGCGUGGGGAGCAAACAGG
rnacentral:rRNA from 1 species